GGAGAGAGAGAGUGUGAGCGAUUCUCCGAGCUGCUUUUUCUAGGAAAAGCGGUGUAGUUUUAGUUUAGCCUUCCAAGUCUUCUUCUUCUUCUUCUACUCGAAAAGAGAGAGAGGGAGAGAGAGAGAGAGAGAGAAAUGGAGAUGCCAGAUGUGGUUGGGGUUCGAUGCCAGCGAAUUGGGUGCAACGCCACCUUCUCCGAGGACAACAACCCCGAAGGUUCUUGUCAAUACCAUGAUUCGGGAGUAAGUAUUUCUCAUUUCAUUUUUUUUUUGGGAAAAUGUUCUUUGUUUUCUGUUUCUUUACAAUUAAGUAGCUUCAUUGUUUUCUCUUUUUAUUAUUAUUUUUUCCCUUAAAUCCAGCCUAUAUUUCAUGAUGGAAUGAAAGAGUGGAGUUGUUGCAAGAAAAGAAGUCAUGAUUUCAGCUUAUUUUUGGAGAUUCCAGGAUGUAAGACAGGCAAGCACACUACCGAGAAGCCAGUGUUGCGAACUCCUACUCCAAAGAAUCCAGUUUCUGCUCCCUCUUCAAAUUCUACAACAAAUACAUCUUCAAAAGAGACUUGCUCUAGGUGCCGGCAGGGUUUCUUUUGCUCUGAUCAUGGUUCACAAGCUAAAGAGAUUAAUCCGAAGCCUUUAAAUGUGGACACAACUGCACCUACCGAUAUUAAUACAAAUUUUGAGAGCUCUCCUGCUCCAGCAAAGAAGGUAGUUGGUAUAAAUGAGCCCCAGACAUGCAGAAAUAAGGGAUGUGGUAAGACUUUCAAGGAAAAGGAUAAUCACGAGACUGCAUGCAGUUUCCAUCCUGGACCUGCUGUUUUCCAUGACCGUAUGAGAGGGUGGAAGUGCUGUGACAUUCAUGUGAAGGAAUUUGAUGAGUUCAUGAGCAUUCCGCCUUGCACCCAGGGAUGGCAUAAUGCUGAUCCAUCAUCCUAAACAAGCAGAGAGCUGCAAGGAUGAGGUGGUUUCCAUUGUGACUUCUUUCCUCCCUUAAAAGUUGUUUUUCAGGUUGAUACUCUUCUCUAUGUUGUCUUUAUCUUGGAAUGGACUUCUUUUGUCACCAAGCAUUUUCGUUGUUAUUGACCAAAUAAUUGGGGAGUCACUUGGUGGGCAAAUGCUGUUUCCUCACCUCAUAAUUUUUUGGAUGCCCUUAUUAAGGAAGCACUUGAACCUAUGGGAAUAGAAUGUGGCAUCGCAUUAGAAGGUCUGACUAAGAUUUCCGUUAGAAAAAUCAAGGAAAAUUGUAAUGGAAGGAUGUGAUUGAAAAAUAAAUAAAUCCUAAGACUCUUAUUAUUCGAAAUCAAGGAAACUUUUU